UUCACGUGCGUGUGUCCCUUUCCCCUUUAAUACAAAUGGACUAGUCUAUGAUGCAAGCAGAGAGGGAAAAAGAUUUAAAUCUCGGCGGGAUUUUACCGUUCUCUAAUUAUCAAGGGCAGUUGGCUCUGUUUGUUUGGUGAUGAUCAUUAACGACCGACAAUGGAUAUCUCACUCCUUUUUGGAUUUAUUUACUGCUUGGUGAUAUCUACAGUGGAUGGUAUACGAUGUUAUGUAUGUAACAAUAGCAACAACCCGGCCUGUGGUCUCGAGUUAAAAACCUACCAGUUUGACGCUUAUGACUGCCCUGCGCCAAAUACGAAAUGCGGAAAGCAGACACAGAUGCCAUUGGGGGAGGAUACAGACAAUCCUGGAUGGGUUGGUGUUAUCAGGACGUGCUACGCUCCGGGAUCACUUCCUGGUAUCAAUGAAACCAAUGGCUGUCAUUUGUGGACCAACUAUGCAGCGAACUUCACGGCUUUGUACUGUUUUUGCGAUAGUGACAAAUGUA